rfam:Schistosoma curassoni strain Dakar, Senegal genome assembly, scaffold: SCTD_contig0006361
AUGUAUAUGACGAGUCUCAAAUAGGACGAAACUCGCGUCGUGGAU